AGGAUGGACCGUCUCGUCCGACGUCCAGUUCGUUUGGCGACUCGGUGUCUGGCGUCCUGUGGGUGAACUGUGCUCGGUUUGUAGGACAAAGUUUUAGUUUGUGAGUGCUGAAAGUGAUCCUCAUGUGAAAUGACUGCUUCUUAUGCACUAACGUUACCGGUGGUCUGUUGUGAAAGGCUCGGUGCCUGUUCAAAAUGCCCCGACGUUCGCCAAUGCCAUAUUAAAAGAGGGUUGCCAGGCGGACUCAGGUAUAAUCAGUGAAUAAAACUAGCUCUGCUUGCACGAAAAAUUAAGUCAUGUCAUCAGAUGUGAGUGUCCCAGAGGGAGAAUGAAGAAAAGGAGCCGUGGUUACAAGGACGCAGACAGUCACCUGAGUUGCGUUCACAUGAAAGAAAAGAUGACAUUCCACCUCAAAUCAAAGGCAAGGACGAAAAGGCAUGUGCUGUGGAGAGUGCUUCCCUUCAUCAUCCAGAUUCCCAAAUUUUAAUCCUCACUACGGCUCCGUCUGUUGACUUAUCUCGGCCUUUGCUUAAA